CGCCUCCCCGCGCCCCCGUCCCCCGAUCUGGAAAAGCCCGGUGUGCGGCGGCGGUUCUCGUCCGCGCCAGCGAGACUGACCCUUGCGAAGUUGUUUUUGCGUGUGUUAUCUGCAAGACAGCCUCAAAACACUUGCUUCAUAGAGGAGACCCCUGAAGCCAGUGAGAUCUGAAACCAGCCUUGAACAAUCCAUAGAUCUCUGACAAGGCAAGGGGAGAAGGCCCGACCCGUGCAAGGCAUUAUGAAAUGAAGAGCACAUAUGCCCUCGAAGACAGAAUUUGUGGAUUUGAGUAGACAGGCUCAGCUGCUUACCGACUGGGUCGCCCCAAGAACAUAUGGAAUCCACUGACUUCAGGAAAUAUUUUCAGAGCGCACACAUAUUUCUUCAAGACGUUAACAUCCCAGGGGAGGAGGAGGAAUAAAAACAUGACAGGGAGUAAUUUAAAAUGGCAGUUUUUGGUCCAUGAUUUGGAGAAGAAUGUCCAGUAUGAGAAUGGAAUGAACUGACUGAGACCUUAUGUCUGUACAGCUGCAUUUAUCAGUAGUUCCACAGAUGCCCACCUGAAUUAUCAGCCAUGACAAUAUAAUAGAGGUCUGCUGAGGGUACAGGCAACUUUCCAGGGCAGCUGUCUUCCAUGUGGGAGCUCAGAACCUCAGGCUAAUUCAAUCAUGUGGCAUGUCCAUAACAAGUUCUUCUGGGAUUGCUGCGGCAGUGAAGAAAAUCUGCACGGUCCUAUAGGUGGCUGUGACAGUUCCUUGCCACCAUCAUUCAAAGGUUGUUUAAAAGUGAUUCCUCUUAAACACCAGAGAAUGGACCAGUUGGCCUAUCAAGGUCCCCUCCACCCAUAGAAGCCCACGAAUGCCAUCAAAUAAUGGAGGCUUUCCUUUCGUGCAAAUGAACAGCUCUUCAGAAACUCAUAGUUGCUUCAAAAGGGAAGAACAUUCAGAACAUGAGCAGGGAAAUUAUGACUUGACAGAAAAAUGAUUGUGUUGUCAUCACUGCAGUACCGAUGAGUGGGGCUUAGUCUUACCAUGAUCCUGUAGAAUGUUUGAUUUCCUCUCGCUUUUGAAGCCUUCAAAAUUCAGCAUCUCUGGAACUCCAGAAUUCUCCACUCUAGAAGAUGAAUGGCUAAUUUCAUCCUAGUAUGAAUCAUCUAAGGGAGUUUUCUGGUUUUACAUAUGAGAAAUCUCAAGCCGAAGACUCUUGGAUGACUAAGUUCUGGAGCUGACAUUAAAUCAAGCUCCCUUCCUUGGCCGGUCUGCUUCACGCUGCACAGAUGUUUCUCCUAUUGCUGCUACAUGGUGAUUUUUCAAGCGGCUUCAUCGACAGAUAUUUCCAGAUGUGUCCCCCCAGUUCUCUGGAUAGACCUUUUCUCCUUACAAAGAGCAGAUCGCACUGCUGCUCAGGCUUUUGAUCUAUUGACUAUAGAAAAAACAAACAGCCCUCUAUUGAUGUGUUUUGGGGGGCUUUGGCAAUAGCACACACAAUAAGUGUCUUCUUCACUCUUUGAAACACUACUGGCAGAUGUUUCCCAUGGACUCCUCCACCCAGCAGUUUUUAUUCUCACAUUCUCCUUCCAGGGGGAAAAAUGGAUUAAUGAGGUUCAGUCUCUGCUUUCCAUUUUUAUUUGCUUUAAUGUUAUCCUUACCUGCACUUUGAGGUUAACAGCCAAAUUUAGUUCUUACCAAGUAAAGACCUGGCUAAUAUCUUAUGUCAGUAAAAAGAGAGAGAGACUGCAAGCAGUGAGAGGGGCAGCAGGAGAGAGAGAAGCAAAUUCCCCGCUGAGGAGGGAGCCUGAUGUGAGGCUCCAUGAAUCCUAGGAUUCUAGGAUUGUGACCCAAGCUGAAAAUAGAUGCUUAACUGGCUGAGCCACCCUGGCACCCCAACAGUAUUGCAUUUGAAUGAAGAGAAGGAAAUAACUCAGCAAAAUGGUAGAUCUUGUAAUGCUUUUCUUCUCCAGUCAAAAGUGUUUUUGUCUACAAAACAUCAGAUUUGAAUGACCCAAUAUUUACUACCUGGAACCACCCCCUUGAAAUGAAUUCUACACUUUGUCUCUGUAAUAUCUGUAAUAUCGCCUCCUACUGUUCUGGUAAUGCUAUUUCUUCUAAUUGAAAUUGUUUUCUAUUUCCUUCAUAUCAACUUUCUAUUUUCAAACAAUAGAAAUUAUGCCCAUUCCCUUCUAAGUCCAACUCAAUCUCUGUUCCCAUCAGAGAUGUUCCGCAAAUCUUAUCAACUAGUAUACUACCUUAUUUGUCUAAACUCAAUUUCAUUGAUUUCUUUUGCCUGUGUUGGGAUUCCCAGGUAUAAAAGCCUGAGACUAAAGAACUAGUAUUUUACUGGGAGGUGAAAUUCCAGGUCAACAACAUGAAAGAAUAUGGACCUGAGAUAAGAAAGAAUGAGGCUAAGGUACUACGUCACUGAGCUGCCUCCUGUUUUGUGAAUAUAAAGAGGUACCUGGUUGCUUGGUGCGUGAGACUUCUCCAGAAAAUCCUUAUAGGAAACCACGCCUUGUGAUGGAAGAAAGGGUCAGCUGGCUUUUAGUUCUCCCUCUAUCCCAUCUCCUGUCUCGUAUUAGUUGAAGGUUGCCUCUUUGGAGGUUGACUCCCCUACAUUUGCAAACUGUAUUCCUGGGCCCUUUUGAGAUAAUGUUGGGAAUGCCACUUUCAUGCCCUCCAGUGUGGUCAUUCUUCUAAAUAUGAUAAACAUGCAUGAAACAUUUGUAAAUAUGAUAUAUAUAUUAGGCUUUAAACAAAAUCCUACAAAGUUCAAAAGACUGGAAAAAUUUAGACUCUGUUCUUUAAUGCACUGUAUGUGAAUACCAUAAAAUAUUCGAUCUAAUUAUUAUAGUUCUAGGUUAUUUUAUUUCACACAAGGAGUUUUUGCUGAAUAUCCUUGUACAUCUCGAUUAUCUUAACAGUUUUAAACCCACCUGUAUUUCUUUAGUUUAUGACUGUUAAGACUAAGAAGAAUUUAUACCACAAUAUAAUACUAUUUGUAUAGUACUUGAAUGGCAUAUAUAAUAUUGAGAAUAUUAUAUAUUAUAUUGAUAUUUAUGUGGUUUGUAUUUUAUUAUAUUAUAGUAUAAUAUACGUUUAUAUUAUCUCUAUGCAGUAAACAUAGCAUGUAUACAUAGGAAUAAAUAUUUUAUGUACAUACAUAUAUGGUAUAUAUAAAAUGAUCUUCUAUGAGAUUUCUGAGGUUGUUUGUUGUCAAUAACUUAGUUAUGAACUGCCUUUCCUAACUGAUGGAGCUGGUAUUCCAACUUUAGUUAAUCUCCACAAGAAUUCAUUUUUCUUGGUAUAAUUUUGCCUGUAUGAGCCCGGAGUUCUCUCUGUGGGAAGGUUUUCAUUUAAAGAUUCAAAUACUUCACUGAUGAUUUACUAACAAUUAUUAACGAUUGCUUUAGGCCUUUUCAGCUUUUCUAUUUCUUCUUCUGUCAGUUUUUAUAGGCUGUAUUACCUAGGAAUUUGUCCAUUUCAUAUAAAUUUUCAAAA